rnacentral:rRNA from 1 species
AGACGUAGGGGGCUAGCGUUGUUCGGAAUUACUGGGCGUAAAGCGCGCGUAGGCGGCCUGCCAAGUUGGGGGUGAAAGCCCGGGGCUCAACCCCGGAACUGCCCUCAAAACUGGCAAGCUAGAGACCGGGAGAGGUGAGUGGAAUUCCCAGUGUAGAGGUGAAAUUCGUAGAUAUUGGGAAGAACACCAGCGGCGAAGGCGGCUCACUGGACCGGUACUGACGCUGAGGUGCGAAAGCGUGGGGAGCAAACAGGAUUAGAAACCCCAGUAGUCC